GGUUGCCUGGUGAAAUGGUAUCACGAGACGUUGUGGCCGUCUUAUUCUGGGUUCGAUUCCCAGGGCAGCCA